GUAGGGAAUCUUCCACAAUGGACGAAAGUCUGAUGGAGCAACGCCGCGUGAGUGAAGAAGGUCUUCGGAUCGUAAAACUCUGUUGUUAGAGAAGAACGUGCAUGAUAGUAACUGAUCAUGUAAUGACGGUAUCUAACCAGAAAGCCACGGCUAACUACGUGCCAGCAGCCGCGGUAAUACGUAGGUGGCAAGCGUUGUCCGGAUUUAUUGGGCGUAAAGGGAACGCAGGCGGUUUUUUAAGUCUGAUGUGAAAGCCUUCGGCUUAACCGAAGAAUAGCAUUGGAAACUGGAAGACUUGAGUGCAGAAGAGGAGAGUGGAAUUCCAUGUGUAGCGGUGAAAUGCGUAGAUAUUAGGAGGAACACCAGUGGCGAAGGCGACUUUCUGGACUGUAACUGACGCUGAGGCUCGAAAGCCAGGGGAGCGAACGGGAUUAGAUACCCUAGUAGUCC
rnacentral:rRNA from 1 species